rnacentral:rRNA from 1 species
GAUGAACGCUGGCGGCGUGCUUAACACAUGCCAGUCGAACGAUGAAGCCCAGCUUGCUGGGUGGAUUAGUGGCGAACGGGUGAGUAACACGUGAGUAACCUGCCCUUAACUCUGGGAUAAGCCUGGGAAACUGGGUCUAAUACCGGAUAGGAGCGUCCACCGCAUGGUGGGUGUUGGUAAGCUUUAUCCGUUUUGGAUGGCCUCGCGGCCUAUCCGCUUGUUGGUGAGGUAAUGGCUCACCAAGGCCACGACGGGUAGCCGGCCUGAGAGGGUGACCGGCCACACUGGGAAUGAGACACCGCCCAGACUCCUAUGGGAGGCAGCAGUGGGGAAUAUUGAACAAUGGGCGCAAGCCUGAUGCAGCGACGCCGCGUGAGGGAUUACGGCCUUCGGGUUGUAAACCUCUUUCAGUAGGGAAGAAGCGAAAGUGACGGUACCUGCAGAAGAAGCACCGGCUAACUACGUG